GUGGCUGUGGCUCAGUGGUAGAGUGCUCACCUUGCAUGUGGAAGGCACUGGGUUCAAUCCUCAGCACCACA
rnacentral:tRNA from 1 species